rnacentral:rRNA from 1 species
CCUACGGGAGGCUGCAGUGAGGAAUAUUGGUCAAUGGACGAGAGUCUGAACCAGCCAAGUAGCAUGAAGGAUGACUGCCCUAUGGGUUGUAAACUUCUUUUAUAUGGGAAUAAAAUGUUCCACGUGUGGGAUUUUGUAUGUACCAUAUGAAUAAGGAUCGGCUAACUCCGUGCCAGCAGCCGCGGUAAUACGGAGGAUCCGAGCGUUAUCCGGAUUUAUUGGGUUUAAAGGGAGCGUAGGUGGAUUGUUAAGUCAGUUGUGAAAGUUUGCGGCUCAACCGUAAAAUUGCAGUUGAAACUGGCAGUCUAGAGUACAGUAGUGGUGGGCGGAAUUCGAGGUGUAGCGGUGAAAUGCUUAGAUAUGACGAAGAACUCCGAUUGCGAAGGCAGUUCACUGGACUGCAACUGACACUGAGGCUCGAUAGUGUGGGUAUCAAACAGGAUUAGAUACCCUGGUAGUC